rnacentral:rRNA from 1 species
UACGGGGGGGGGCAAGCGUUGUUCGGAAUUACUGGGCGUAAAGGGCUCGUAGGUGGCCAACUAAGUCAGACGUGAAAUCCCUCGGCUUAACCGGGGAACUGCGUCUGAUACUGGAUGGCUUGAGUUCGGGAGAGGGAUGCGGAAUUCCAGGUGUAGCGGUGAAAUGCGUAGAGAUCGGGAGGAACAUCAGGUGGCGAAGGCG